rnacentral:rRNA from 1 species
GGACCCGCACAAGCGGUGGAGCAUGUGGUUUAAUUCGAUGCAACGCGAAAAACCUUACCUAUACUUGACAUACUUGGAAUGCUUUGUAAUGAAGCAGUGCCUUCGGGAGCCAGGAUACAGGUGCUGCAUGGCUGUCGUCAGCUCGUGUCGUGAGAUGUUCCGUUAAGUCGGAUAACGAGCGCAACCCUUACCCUUAUUUGCCAGCGAUUCGGUCGGGAACUCUAAGGAGACUGCCGGUGACAAACCGGAGGAAGUGGGGACGACGUCAAGUCAUCAUGGCCCUUACGGGGUGGGCUAGAAACGGUGCUACAAUGGGGAGAUACAAAGGGGCUGCAGAACCAGCAAUGGUAAGCG